UACUGCAGCGCGAGCGUGACGAGGUUAUCCGAGUGGCUCCCGCUGAGGGGGCUUUUGUUGGCUGUAAAAAGGCCGGCGAAUAAGGGGAGGGCAAGUCUGGUGUCAGCCGCCGCGGUAUUACCACUCCCCCAGGGGGCCGGGGCAAUUUUGGGGCCUAAGCCUCCCUUACCCGGUUCGUUAGGCUCCCGGUUAAUUCCAACCCUUCACCGGUGGACUGGCAAAGAAUCCCGCGGAAUUAGAAGGGGGAAAAGGGGAACGGACCCCCCCGGGUGGGGGUAAAUCCUUUGGUUCCGGGAAAAACCCCCAUGGGGAAAGGGGGCCCCCCGAACCGGCCUCAACGGGAAGGAAGAAAGCCGGGGGAACCAAACGGAAUAAAAUCCCCGGGAAGCCCCGCCGGAAACCAAGGCUGCUUAAAGAAUUCUUUCCCAGUUCCGAAAGGAAUGGCCCAAGGAAACCCGUUAACUUGCCCCCCGGGGAAUACCGGCCCCAGACUGGAACC
rnacentral:rRNA from 1 species